rfam:Wickerhamomyces anomalus NRRL Y-366-8 unplaced genomic scaffold WICANscaffold_1, whole genome shotgun sequence.
GGCACUUUGGCCGAGUGGUUAAGGCGAAAGACUUGAAUGAAAUCUCACUUUGUGAGUGGAAUCAAGGCCAUCUUUUGGGAUUUUCCCGCGCAGGUUCGAGUCCUGCAGGUGUCG